ensembl:lncRNA
GCAAGACACAAGAACCAGCAAGGCAUGAAGACAAAGCCCCCUCUCUAAAUUUGUUAAAUGCGAAUUUGGUGUUUAUAUGCUUUGCCCUGAGAUGGACGACCCAGAGUGAAAGUUAAGCGACUAAGAAGGUGGACGGACAUAUCUCAUUACAAUCCCUUUAUGAGGCCGGGAGCAGGAAGUGCGCUGUCUUUCCUGUCGCCGGCGUCUAAAAGACAGCGCUUUUCAACGCUUCUCGACACUCUCCGCUUUCAGAGAGAGGGGGACAGGAGACAGAGCGACAAUGCGUGGCGUGAUUAGGAUGCAAGGGUUGUUGGCUCCCCUCUCGACUCAAGGCUAUGCGUUUCUCUCUACCCGGGGAUCAAUAUGAGAUUGUGAAAAACAAGACCUUGUUGUUUUGAAGAACUUUUGUCUCUCGUCCAGGCUUGUGGGGACCGUAGGCUUUAGCCUACUUCUUCUUUUUUUCCAGAGAUGUCCACUACCAGCAGACCCACCGUCGGGACUCCCCAGUUAACGACAGACGAGCUGACCGUCAUAGUGGCCUCAUGUAAGUUUUUAAUAAACUCUUGAAAAAUGUUUGAGUUACAGGUAGAUUAAAAGUUUAAAAGGGAAUCCAUGUGCGCUCUGUUAAUGUUCCACAAUUAAAAUAGAUUAAAACGUGAAUCAAUAGGCUACCUGUGUUCAAAUCAUCUGGAACAUAUAGCUGAAGUCUGACUUGUCCUGUCUGGUCUUCUUCCUGGUGAUCAUGGUGCUCCUGUGUAUGCUGUACCGCAGGGACCCCCUCUGCUGUAAGGUCCGAGAGUACCAGGGAUCACACACAGACCUGUCUACACCUCCCCAGUAUUACAGCAGCACACAAACACUGGUCGGCCCACGAUGCUCUCAAGAAUCCCUGAGCCAUGAGAAUACCUACAGACAGUCAGAUUCGCUGUUCCUGAUUGGCCUGCCCUCCAGCUACGGCCUGCCCUCUUUGGCUGUCCCUCGCCUGCCGUCCUAUGAGAGCGUCCGAAAGAAGGACCGGCAGCGUCAGAUCCACAUGAUGAUCGCCGACCGCUUCGGCCUCAACGGGCCCUACAUCCCUGAGGUGAUUGAUCAAUCCGUCAGCCAAUCAAUACGUCACAUGAUGAUCGCCGACCGCUCCGGCCUCAACGGACCCUACAUCCCUGAGCCUCCACCGUCCUAUGAAGAGAGCAUCCACCAGGCCGUGGAGAUCCCUUGUGCCGUGAUUGGUCCUUUACAUGGCUCCAGUGAUGUGAUUGGUUCCUCAGAGGUCUGCUGUAGCGUGAUUGGUCCUUCGGAGGCCCCCGGUGAUGUGAUUGGUCCUUCAGAGGCCCCCGGUGAUGUGAUUGGUCCUUCAGAGGUGUCCUGUGAUGUAAAUGGUCUGUCCAUUCCUCCCUGUGAUGUCACUGGUCCUGUGGAAGCUCCCCGUGACAGGAUUGACCAAUUGAACGCUCCCCUGCACGUGAUUGGUCCAUUGAACGCUCCGCCUGACAGGAUUGGUCCAUUGAACGCUCCCCUGCACGUGAUUGGUCCAUUGAACGCUCCCCUGCACGUGAUUGGUCCAGCAGGGGCCUCUUCACCAGCCACCAGCCCUCCCUAAAAUACACACGGACACAGACAUUUACCCUGUGUGAACAUACACACACACACACACACACACACACACACAGACACAGACACAGACACAGACACAGACACAGACACACAGACACAGACACAGACACACACACACACACACACACACACAGACUGAUGCACACACGCACACACACACACACAGACUGAUGCACACACGCACACACACACACACACACAGAGACUGAUGCACACACGCACACUUGCCAGAGAGAUUGUAAUUGAAUAGGGACAUCAGGUCUGUGAUUCUCCCUGUGCAGUGUCCAGCAGGAGAAGUGAGCCUUGUUGAUCGAGCCGCUCUGUGACCCGAGACAAGACCAAAGACCUGAGAGUGUGUGUGUGUGUGUGUGUGUGUGUGUGUGUGAGAGUGUGUGUGAGAGUGUGUGUGUGUGUGUGUGUGUGUGUGAGUGUGUGUGUGUGUGUGUGUGUGUGUUUAUGGGGUUUUAUGGGUCUUGAUUGCUCUUCUGUCAGGACCUCACACAUGGCCACGACACUUAAAAGAGCACAGAAGAGAUUUAAAGGACCACAGGCAGUCUAAAUCAAACCCAGAUCAUCUUACAGGACCACAGGCAGUCUAAAUCAAACCCAGAUCAUCUUAAAGGACCACAGUUCUUCUAGUAGCCCAGUCUUUAGUCGACCACAGAAAUGCCAUAGUUCCUUAAGAGUAGUGGACCCUGCUAUGUCCUAUACAGGACCUUUCAAAGGGAACCUUCACUUCACAGGACAGACAGUGUUGUUUAUCUGAGAACCAUUGACAGUUCAGCUGUACCCAAGAACCAUUAUCGGUUUUUCUGAGUUCAUCUAAAAAAAAAAAGUGGAAUGGUCUUCAUUGAGCUCCAGCCACGUGAGGAAACCUUUUGCCGGCAAACAUGGUUCCUCAGAGCUCAAGCCUGUUCUUAAAGCUCGUAGCCAAAAUGAGGUCUAAUGAGGGUUCCACGGUGGUCGACUGACUCAAAUGGAGGAUGCCCAUGAGAACCUUGGAGAGUUUCCUCAAUUGGGUGAAGACAUCCUGAAGUUUGGAGUAGAAAAGAACCACGUCUCCAUAUUUUGGAGGAGACCAAAGAUGUGUGACAUCACAGUUGUGACAUCACAGUUGUGACAUCACAGUUGUGACAUCAUCACAGCGGAUUCUCAGGAGCCACAGCAACCGGACUGAUUCUCUGAACAACGGCCUUAGAGGAACCGACAGGAUACACCAGAAGCUGGACGGAACCGGGCCAGUGUCAGUGCACACACUCUGGCCAGUGAGCUCUCAUCCAAUCAGGUCGCAGGCAGGGUUAAUCAUCCAAUCAGGUGGCAGGCAGGGUUAAUCUGUGCCACAGAGGGACAGCACGCAUAUCAGUGAUGACCUGCUGCCCACCUCACAGGAAGUGAGGUCAUGGUUGACAGGAAGUGAGGUCAUGGUUGACAGGAAGUGACAUGGCGGAUGCGGACGAGUGUGUAUUGUGAACAGCCGUGACUGGCUGUGAGGUACAUGAGCACAUGCUGCUUGUGAUGAGUGGUUAUUCACACGCAAUCAAUGAGCCAAACAGGACAGAUGACGUUUGUUUAUUUCAUAGAGCAGCAUUUCUUAGAUGUUAGAUUUUACGUUUUUCUUUGAUAACCUUUUACAUUUUUGGGCAUAUUAAUAUUAAUUGGUUGAUUCUAUGUUGGACACAAUAUUUUUAACGCGAUGAAAUGCAUCUAGACAAAUAACCUGCCGGUUUCACUGUGAUCAGGUGUGUGUGUGUGUGUGUGUGUGUGUGUGUGUGUGUGUGUGUGUGUGUGUGUGUGUGUGUGUGUGUGUGUGUGUGUGUGUGUGUGUGUGUGUGUGUGAUCAACGUGGACAAUAAUUGUCACAGCUGUAACUAUUGUUUGAUAUUUCCAUUGUUUGUAAAGCAGAAUGUUUGUAUAAAGUUGAUCUUCUGGGUGUGUGUGUGCGUGUGUGUGUCUGUGUGUGUGUGUGUGUGUGUGUGUGUGUGUGUUUGUAAAGCAGGAUGUUUGUAUAAAGUUGAUCUUUCUGUGUGUGUGUGUGUGUGUGUGUGUGUGGUGUGUGUGUGUGUGUGUGUGUUUGUAAAGCAGGAUGUUUGUAAAAAGUUGAUCUUUCUGAAUGGCCAUUAAAAUAUAACAGAGUUG